UACGUAGGGGGCGAGCGUUGUCCGGAUUCAUUGGGCGUAAAGCGCGCGUAGGCGGCUUCGUAAGUCGGCCGUGAAAUCUCCAGGCUUAACUUGGAGGGGUCGGGCGAGACUGCGGAGCUCGAGGUGGGCAGAGGGCAGUGGAAUUCCCGGUGUAGAGGUGAAAUUCGUAGAUAUCGGGAGGAACACCAGUGGCGAAGGCGGCGACCUGGGCCAAUACUGACGCUGAGGUGCGAAAGCGUGGGAGCAAACAGG
rnacentral:rRNA from 1 species